CUGGGAGUAGGAAAGCUUGGUAAUCCGUCUGGUUUGGAACCAGAAGAACGUCGGUUCAAAUCCGACCUUCCAGACCA
rnacentral:tRNA from 1 species